rnacentral:rRNA from 1 species
UAUUAUUNAGAUGCAUGGUGUAUACNUAGUAGGUGAAAUGACCAUCUGAUUGGUAAAAAACAUGGCGGUCUGUUGACAAAAUAGAGGGACAUGCGCAUAAAUGAAACUGCACAAAUUCCUUGCUUGCUCUUGAAUAUUUGAUCUUAUGUUCAUUUUGUACACCGCUAUCUGAAAUUUAGAAUACUAAUUCUAUUUUAAAUAUUAUAUUUUAUAUUUAUAUUAUUAUUAAUAUUUAAUAAUCUGUAAGUUAAGUUUAGGUGCAAAUUAUGGGUGAGAAGUAGUGUGUUCCAAUAUAAUUAUUGUGGAUCCUUUUAAGAUAUAUUUUGGGUUAAAAAGAAUUUAUAAGUAAAAUUAGCUUUCAAAAUUAAUUUGAACGUGCAACAAUGGACGUACACAUCG